rnacentral:rRNA from 1 species
UACGAAGGGGGCUAGCGUUGCUCGGAAUCACUGGGCGUAAAGGGUGCGUAGGCGGGUCUUUAAGUCAGGGGUGAAAUCCUGGAGCUCAACUCCAGAACUGCCUUCGAUACUGGAGAGCUCGAGUCCGGGAGAGGUGAGUGGAACUGCGAGUGUAGAGGUGAAAUUCGUAGAUAUUCGCAAGAACACCAGUGGCGAAAGCGGCGCACUGGACCACAACUGACGCUGAGGCGCGAAAGCUAGGGGAGCAAACAGG